rnacentral:lncRNA from 1 species
GUUUAUUAAAUGUUCUUCAACAAUAUAAGAGUAAAACAAAAAUAAAAUAAAUAAUAUGAUUUAUAAGCAACCUAUGUAUAUAAGGUAAUAAAAAAAUAUUUGUCUUUUUUUAAAAUACCUAAUAAUUAAAAUUAAAAUUGUAUAAUAAUAUUAUUCGUACACAAACAUUAUAAAUUGUAAUAAUGUUUCAUUGAGCCCCAACUUACUCUCUUUACAGAUAAUAUUAGUUAACUAUAAUUAUUAGUUGAGUGUGUCGAAAUUCUGUUUUUACAGCGUAUUUCCCACCACAUUUUCGGUACAUGCAAUACUUUCAACACUCUUUGUAAUUAAAAUGAACAACCGUACAGAAAUAAUAAACGGUGAAAGAAUUAACAACAAAUUAGUUAAAAAUAUAAAAACUGUAGCGUCGAACAGCCAAAAAUAACAAUGACGAGGUAUUAGGCGCGAGUACAACACAACGGCGUCAUAACAAUAAACGUCAUCAAUCAAUAUUUUUUUUUAAAGGCUUUUCGUUCCCUAUUAGUGGUCACACAAAUUUGAGGUAGGUUUUAGUUUGUUUACGUUUUUUCAGAAUUACGUGGGCUGAAUAGAAAGUGCACAAUAUGGUUUAUGUGAUCUGUGGUUACACUAUAAAAUAAUCACUUUAAAUUGCAUAUAUCAUUCUUCAUGCGGGUCUUUGACGUGGUAAUCACAGAUUCGAUUUAGCAUUAAUCCCAAAAUGUCAUUUUGGGCGAUUUGUAGUUGUUUAAGGUUCGAUUUGUUUGCUGUAUAUAACUUGCAAUUAUUUAACUUAUAAAAAUGUGGAUUAUAGCAACGCAACUUUGUAUACCAUUUUCAUUUGAUUACUUUUUAACGUGUUUAUUUUUUUUUUUUCGGAGCCUAAUGGUACUACUGUAUAUAAAUGUAUCAAAUUUUUUCUAUAAACAAAUUUUUGAAAAUAGUUGUGAUAUUUUCGAAAAGUUCAUUGGUCUUAGUUUUAGAAGACAAGUAGUUCAUAUAUAAUGUGUAUGUAAAAAUAAACUUAAUUCUGAUACGUUUGAAAAUAAUAUUGCUAUUCGCAUAAAAUUAUUGUUAUUGUUUUCGAUAUUACUAAUAAAAAUAAAGUUGCGGCUUAUUGUACAUAAACGAUAAUUAUAAAUAUAUAUUUAUAAUGAACAUAAUAGUGUCUUAUAGGAUUCAUCCGAUAGGGUGCUGUGAGGGCAAUCGAAGGGAGGCUCAUAUCAGUUUUUCAAUUGGGAUGAAAACAUUUGAUUUACGGCAGUUUUUCGCUCAUUUACAUUUCCUGUUUAUUUUACGGAUCUGAAAAAAUGUUCAGCUCGCUCGUAUUCGUAUUUCCAUUUUACAUUCUAUUAUUCAAAUAACUACUAUAUUUUUUUGUCAUUUUAAUAACAUUGAUACUAAACUACUGUCGUAGUUUAUUAUUCCGCGAAACCGUACUCAAUUGUACCGGGAUUUACUUCACGUGACAUCAGUUUCGCUACAAACUAUUAUUAUUUUGCUGACCUACCUGUUUAUUUAGUCAUAGUUAACCGUGGUAACAAUCGCCCGUAACUCAUUCUUGCAUCGCAGACAACCGGACCCGGUAAAGGCGGCCAUUUUGCCGGUGGCGGCGAUUAUUUUUUGCAUUUUACAUUUUAUCGACGACGGCGCGACAAAACCAUUUUGCGAGGCCCGAAAACACAUAUUAAAAAAAAAAAAAAAAAAAAAUCAAGGGUGCCAAAGCGUAAUCUGAAUCGCUCGAAGAACAUCCCUGCGGGGGUCGACUCGGAAAUGAUAACCUCGCGGUCCAAGUUUUCGAACAACAAAAUAUUACUAUCUAAUCGCUGGGGUUUCGAUCGAUUAUUAUUC